rfam:Synergistales bacterium 54_9 MPJ_scaffold_4328, whole genome shotgun sequence.
CGAACCCGGCAGUUAAGCCCUCCAGCGCCGAUGGUACUGCGGUGUGUAACCGUGGGAGAGUAGGUCGCCGCCGGAA